CUCCCGUACAGAGAGCUGGACGCGCGAGACGUGGCAGCGCCGCGUUCCAGAGGGUGGAGGCAGCGUCCUGGAGGCUCGCGGUGGAUCUAGACGCUGGGCAUCGUGACUUCAAAUCGGACUGCCUUCUCCGGCGCAUGGGGGAAGUCGGAAUUGGUGACCGACGGUUAGAAGCCAAGAGAUCCCAUGAUCUGUCUGCAAGCUGGAGACCCAGGAAUGUCAGUGAUAUAAUUCAGUCCGAGUCCAAAGGCCUGAGAACUGGGAAGCUGCUGGUACACAUCACAGCCUUUGCUUAGAAACACUGAACAGCACUGAGCACUCCACUAUACUCGGGGCUAUUUUAAACAGUGAAAUCAACAAAAAGCACACAAAUGCAAAAAACAUGGCACUAAGUUGACCACAGUAGGAUACUUAAUUACGGUAUGAGCCCUGAAACAAGAAGGCAGAGCAUCCUCUUGUUUGACUUCCACUGGGAAUGUGCACAUCAGGUAACUCAAAUUUUUCGCCUCUCUAUGCAUAGCUGUAAAUGACCAUGAAAGUACCACAAGUAUUGAGUUUGAGGUUACAAAUAAAUUUUAAAGUAGGCAAAUACAAAAAUUUGGAAUCUGCAAAUAAUGAGAAAUAAUGAAGAUUGGCUAGCAUAUAUGUAUAUAUGUGGAUGUAUAUGUAUUUAUGUAUAUGUAUGUUCCACUGUUUAGAAGUACAUUAAACCAUCACUAUAUUUAUUUGUUUUU